CGAAGAUCUCGCGAGGCUUGGGCGCUGCGGCGGUAGGAGGAGGACGGAGAAGGACGGAGCCUAGCUGUUGCUGCCUCCCUCGCUCACUCCCUCGCGCACUCGCCCGCCCCCUCCCUCCCUCCCCUCCCUUCCCCGGCCCCGGCCCCGGCCCCGGCCCCGGCCCAUUCGCUGUUCGGUCUUCCGCAGGGAGGAUGUCGGGCUCGUCGCUUCCCAGCGCCUUGGCCCUCUCGCUGUUGCUGGUCUCUGGCUCCCUCCUCCCAGGGCCAGGCGCCGCUCAGAACGCUGGGUUUGUCAAGUCGCCCAUGUCAGAAACUAAGCUCACUGGGGACGCCUUUGAGCUGUACUGUGACGUGGUCGGGAGCCCCACGCCAGAGAUCCAGUGGUGGUACGCAGAAGUCAACCGGGCAGAGUCUUUCAGACAGCUGUGGGACGGUGCUCGGAAGCGCCGUGUCACCGUAAACACCGCCUACGGGUCAAACGGCGUGAGUGUGCUGAGAAUAACCCGGCUCACCUUGGAGGACUCUGGGACUUACGAGUGCAGGGCCAGCAACGACCCCAAGAGGAAUGACUUGAGGCAAAACCCCUCCAUAACAUGGAUUCGAGCCCAGGCCACCAUAAGCGUCCUUCAGAAGCCAAGGAUUGUCACCAGUGAAGAGGUCAUUCUUCGAGACAGCCCUGUUCUCCCCGUCACCCUGCAGUGUAACCUCACCUCCAACUCUCACACCCUUACAUACAGCUACUGGACAAAGAAUGGGGUUGAACUGACUGCCACUCGCAAGAAUGCCAGCAACAUGGAAUACAGGAUCAAUAAGCCGAGAGCUGAGGAUUCAGGCGAAUACCACUGUGUAUAUCACUUUGUCAGUGCUCCUAAAGCAAAUGCCACCAUUGAAGUGAAAGCUGCUCCUGACAUCACUGGCCAUAAACGGAGUGAGAAUAAGAAUGAAGGGCAAGAUGCCAUGAUGUAUUGCAAGUCAGUUGGCUACCCGCAUCCCGACUGGAUAUGGCGCAAGAAGAAGAAUGGUAUGCCCAUGGACAUUGUCAAUACCUCCGGCCGCUUCUUCAUUAUCAACAAGGAGAAUUACACUGAGCUGAGCAUCGUGGGUCUCCAGAUCACAGAAGACCCUGGCGAGUAUGAAUGUAAUGCUACCAACUCCAUCGGUUCCGCCUCCGUUGUCACCAUCCUCAGGGUACGGAGCCACCUGGCCCCACUCUGGCCUUUUUUGGGAAUUCUGGCUGAAAUCAUCAUCCUUGUGGUGAUCAUUGUUGUGUAUGAGAAGAGGAAGAGGCCAGAUGAAGUUCCUGACGCCAGCGCGGUCCAGGCUCCAUUCUCCACAUCCCUGCCUUGCUCCAGCAUUUCUGCACCAGAGUUUUCUCCCUUGUCUGCUGCCUCUUCUCCAACUCCUCCCUGCUCCUAUGCCCCUUCAUUUCUUGUCCCCCUGGAAUUAAUCAUUAAAGAAAAAAAAAGUCAAUUGUUCUUCAGUGAGUUUUCCUUAUGCUGUGGCUUUUUUCCAGCUAGUUUCCCCUCAACUCCUGCGCAGUCCCAUGUAUGGGCCACCCCCUCAUAUGCUUUCUCCCCGCACAGCCCUCCACAAGCCUACAUGUAGACAGAUGCAUGCACUCCUGUGUGGAAUGAAGGAAGAGGGACUGCCUAUCUGAUACAAACUGGAGUCGUAGAGGUGAUGAGUUUGUGUCAGAUAACCGUCUGUGGAGCUGUUGACUUAUUUAUGCCAUAGUGAAAAUGGAUUUUUUUUUUUUAAUACGCCUGACAUGCUUUCUCUGCCAAAAUAGGUACUUUACUAUCAGAGUAGAUGUAUGAUUUCUGAGUCACUGAACUUUUUUUUGUAUGAGAGAAUUUCAUGUAAAACUCACAAUAUUCCUAUUUGGGCAGUCUGAGCUCUUGGACACUCAGCCCCUUACCAGAAAAGCACUAAGUGAACAAUUUAAACAAUUUAAAUCUGUACACAUGCACUAAUUCGAACUUAAAGAGUUUAGUCUGAGUACAUUUCCCCAGAAAAGUAAAUACUGUUUCAGAUUUCUCACAUAGGAAAUGCUUAGAGUUAAGGUUUAGUGGCUUUCAGCAGAAAAAAAAACAAAAGAUCUCUGUCUCUUAGUCUACUAGAGUCUACCCAGGACACAUUAUUUUUAAAGAUUUUAUCUAUUUGGCAGGGAGUGUGUACAAGCAGGGGGAGCGGCAGGCAGAGAGAGAGGCAAAACUCCCCACUGGCAGGGAGCCCAAUGCAGGGACUUGAUCCCAGGACCCUGGGUUCAUGACCUGAGCCAAAGGCAGAUGCUUACCUGACUGAGCCACCCAGGCGCCUCUACUCAGGGCAUUUUACAAGCGAAAUGCAUGCUAAGUCCCUUUAAGCCCCUGCUGUGGUGUGUUUGAGGAUCGAUGCCCAAUAGGUUGUCUUACAGGUAGAUUAUCUGCACAUCGCCUUUUACCUUCAGUGUUUUCAGUAACAGAUGAAUCAUGGGGUCAAAUCAGAGUCUUUGUUUUUUCACUUUACUCACUUCUUGACUACAUUCUCUGAAAAUGUUAAAUGGUAAUUAUCUGAGAAGACUAGGUCGAGCCGGCAUCCUCUUAGCCUUCUAUCCGUCCUACAGCUCAUGUGCUUGGAGCACACCUUCCAUGUUGGUUCUCUGCUGACAAAACCCGGGGAGGGAUUAGUGUGCGCGCGAGUAUGCUUCAAGUCUGUCUUCCCCAGUCACCGGGGGAGAUGUGGUGUGAGCCUGCCUCAUUGUUGGGGCCUUCAGUUCUACAUUUAGUGACCUCAAAUGAAAACAAGAAGAGCUGAUUUAAGAAAAGAAGUGGCGGCAUCAGUGAGUUUUCUGUUUUCACAUUUAGGGGACAAUUUUUAUUAGCAGUUCAAAGGGACUCCUCCUUAGGUUACUGGUGGAGAAGAUAGUUGGGGGUUUAGGGGGACCAUUUUUAGUGGCUCUGAUACAUUCAAACUCUUUUAGACACUUUACAAACAAGAGCUUUUCUUAUGUUUAAAAAAUCUGUUGGAAACAUGUGAAGCUUUUCAGCUGGCCGGGAAUGCUGGAAAAGAAAUGUGACUUUUUAAAAUCGUCUCCUAACUAGGGGUCAUCUGAGUCAGUAACAAGUUACCUUGUGGAGAGAAUACAGUAGGACUAAAUAUGAAAGGCUAGAUGUGACCGUUAAUCUCUCUGGUUUAAUGCUGCUUUAUGGAGAUGAGGCAAGAUUUAAGCAGGUUUAGAAACUAGAAAACCCCAUCCUCAGUGAGAGGAAGGCAGUGAAAAAGCUUUGACUAGAUAGUCAACUCUUGGUCACUUUGACUGAAAAGCCAUCUUUUUCGAGGUGGUGCCCUAUCAGGUAACGCGUUGUGUACUGGGCAUCGCAGAGCACCUUCCAGACGGUGAGGUGAUGGGAUCUGGCGGAGUGAGCGCCAUAGCACAACUAGUUGGGAAGAUGGCAGUUCCACCAGGAACUUCACUCUCCUCAGACGGAUUCCAGAAGCAUCUUGUUCCCUUUCUCCCCAGUCCUCUUUCUCCCAUCUAGCCAGUGGCUGUGAGUAAUCCCAGGCGAAGAGGAGAGCCAGUUUAAGCCGCUAUCUUUUGGCCUGAGGGUUUGGGGGUAUGUUGAUAUUUGUCGGUUACUAUGACUUCUUUUUUUUCCCCCCUCAAUUGCAUCAAACCCUUAAAACAUGGUGAUGAUGAACCAGCUGGACCAAUGAAAACCAACUCUACCAACAAUCACAAAGAUAAAAACUUGCGCCAGAGAAACACAAAUUAAAUACUGCUUAUAAUAUCUUUAGGUUCCUGAAACUGGUGGCAACAUGACCUGCUAAAUUUUCUGCUUGGACCUCUUUGGUUCUCUCCCCUUUCAAGUGAGCAACACCACGACGACUGUCUAAAGCAUGCCUUAUUUAGCCUUUCCUGUAAGGGUGACCUAGUCAGGUUCAUUUUAAACAAUGCUUCAGUGUAGAAGGUGUAAACUAUUUUGGGCUUGAUGUGCUGUGAAUGUUGCUUUUUCCCCCCUUUGUUAAAAUAUUUAAGUAGAAGUGAAAAGGUCCUCAGGAUCGGAUCGUGCAUGCGCCAUUUUUUACUUCACGCAGCUGUUAAAUUGGCAAAGCUCUCAAUCGCACUGCUGCCAUCGAGUGAAAACAUUUUUGUAAAGUACAGCAAAACCUACAGAUAUAUACAGUAUAUAAAUAUAUACAUAUAUAUAUUUAUAUUUUUCGGGGUGGGAGAAAUCCAAAAUAAAAUAAAUGCUUGUUUCAUUUUUUAGCUGCUGAUAUUCAUUCCUUAUUGUAUGUUGUCAGAUGAGGAAAUUGUGCAGUUCUGGUACAUAAAGAUGAGUAAUAUAAACUGAAAUCUGUAGUUCUAAGGGCUUAACCUGCGACUUUGGUAAGAAGCUGGAACGCUCCACUGAAUGGAUAUAUUGAAUUGCAGUAUAUAUGUAUGAUUGCUUUUUAAGUGAUUCUUUUUUGUUAAACCAUGUAAAUUCUUAAAUCCUUUUGCACUGAUGUGUUGAAUCUUAUUGUACAUUCAAUUAAGGCAAACUUUUAUAAUUUACCUUUUGUUUUCAAUGACCUUGAAAUGUUCUCGCAUGGUAUUCUAUGCAACUCGUUCUCCUCCGGGGUUGACACUGUAUUUUUCACAUUGCUUUAACGGUUGAGUGUAGAUUUUCUCGCCCGGCAGGGUUCUCAUGCGGUGUGUAACCAUAGAUGCAUGUACUUGUGUUUUGUGUUGAAGUGCAAUGAUGUAUAAAAAAGUGGAUUCACCUGUUUUUAAAAAUAAAACAUUGACAAAAGGUG